AGAGUUUGAUCCUGGCUCAGAACGAACGCUGGCGGCAGGCCUAACACAUGCAAGUCGAGCGCGCCCUUCGGGGUGAGCGGCGGACGGGUUAGUAACGCGUGGGAAUAUACCCGACACUAAGGAAUAGCCUCUGGAAACGGAGAGUAAUACCUUAUACGCCCUUCGGGGGAAAGAUUUAUCGGUGACGGAUUAGCCCGCGUUAGAUUAGAUAGUUGGUGGGGUAAUGGCCUACCAAGUCUACGAUCUAUAGCUGGUUUUAGAGGAUGAUCAGCAACACUGGGACUGAGACACGGCCCAGACUCCUACGGGAGGCAGCAGUGGGGAAUCUUGGACAAUGGGCGCAAGCCUGAUCCAGCCAUGCCGCGUGAGUGAUGAAGGCCUUAGGGUCGUAAAGCUCUUUCGCCAGAGAUGAUAAUGACAGUAUCUGGUAAAGAAACCCCGGCUAACUCCGUGCCAGCAGCCGCGGUAAUACGGAGGGGGUUAGCGUUGUUCGGAAUUACUGGGCGUAAAGCGCGCGUAGGCGGAUUAGUAAGUUAGAGGUGAAAUCCCGGGGCUCAACCCCGGAACUGCCUUUAAUACUGCUAGUCUUGAGUUCGAGAGAGGUGAGUGGAAUUCCGAGUGUAGAGGUGAAAUUCGUAGAUAUUCGGA
rnacentral:rRNA from 1 species